GGAUGUGAGGGCGAUCUGGCUGCAACAUCUGUCACCCCAUUGAUCGCCAUGGUUGAUUUGCCUGAUCUGGCUGGCUAGGUGGGUGUCUCCUCCCUCCCCUCACUGCUCCAUGUGAAUCCCUCCGGAAGCUGCAUCCCUCCCAAAGCUGUGCACUCAGUCAAAGAGGACAGUCUUCCCUGAAUAGAGACGGACCGGUCUUUGGUAUAGGAGUAGCUGCGCUCCCCUGCUAGAACCUCCAAACAAGCUCUCAAAGGAAAGUAAUAAAAACAUUUCCUUUCAUUAGAAUAUGUCUCUUAAACUCCCCAUUUAGCUAAAACAUGUCUUGAACACUAUUCAUGUAAAUGGUUUUUAACU
rnacentral:snRNA from 1 species